GACGAACGCUGGCGGCGUGCUUAACACAUGCAAGUCGAACGGAAAGGCCCUGCUUUUGUGGGGUGCUCGAGUGGCGAACGGGUGAGUAACACGUGAGUAACCUGCCCUUGACUUUGGGAUAACUUCAGGAAACUGGGGCUAAUACCGGAUAGGAGCUCCUGCUGCAUGGUGGGGGGUGGAAAGUUUCGGCGGUUGGGGAUGGACUCGCGGCUUACCAGCUUGUUGGUGGGGUAGUGGCUUACCAAGGCUUUGACGGGUAGCCGGCCUGAGAGGGUGACCGGCCACAUUGGGACUGAGAUACGGCCCAGACUCCUACGGGAGGCAGCAGUGGGGAAUAUUGCACAAUGGGCGGAAGCCUGAUGCAGCAACGCCGCGUGCGGGAUGACGGCCUUCGGGUUGUAAACCGCUUUCGCCUGUGACGAAGCGUGAGUGACGGUAAUGGGUAAAGAAGCACCGGCUAACUACGUGCCAGCCGCCGCAGUAACAC
rnacentral:rRNA from 1 species